rnacentral:rRNA from 1 species
GGGGGGCAAAGUUAUCGGAAUACUGGGCGUAAGCGCAUGCAGGUGGUUUGUUAAGUCAGAUGUGAAAGCCCGGGGCUCAACCUCGGAAUAGCAUUUGAAACUGGCAGACUAGAGUACUGUAGAGGGGGGUAGAAUUUCAGGUGUAGCGGUGAAAUGCGUAGAGAUCUGAAGGAAUACCGGUGGCGAAGGCGGCCCCCUGGACAGAUACUGACACUCAGAUGCGAAAGCGUGGGGAGCAAACAGGAUUAGAUACCCUGGUAGUCCACGCCGUAAACGAUGUCUACUUGGAGGUUGUGGCCUUGAGCCGUGGCUUUCGGAGCUAACGCGUUAAGUAGACCGCCUGGGGAGUACGGUCGCAAGAUUAAAACUCAAAUGAAUUGACGGGGGCCCGCACAAGCGGUGGAGCAUGUGGUUUAAUUCGAUGCAACGCGAAGAACCUUACCUACUCUUGACAUCCAGAGAACUUUCCAGAGAUGGAUUGGUGCCUUCGGGAACUCUGAGACAGGUGCUGCAUGGCUGUCGUCAGCUCGUGUUGUGAAAUGUUGGGUUAAGUCCCGCAACGAGCGCAACCCUUAUCCUUGUUUGCCAGCGAGUAAUGUCGGGAACUCCAGGGAGACUGCCGGUGAUAAACCGGAGGAAGGUGGGGACGACGUCAAGUCAUCAUGGCCCUUACGAGUAGGGCUACACACGUGCUACAAUGGCGCAUACAGAGGGCGGCCAACUUGCGAAAGUGAGCGAAUCCCAAAAAGUGCGUCGUAGUCCGGAUUGGAGUCUGCAACUCGACUCCAUGAAGUCGGAAUCGCUAGUAAUCGUGGAUCAGAAUGCCACGGGUGAAUACGUUCCCGGGGCCUUGUACACACCGCCCGUCACACCAUGGGGAGUGGGCUGCACAAGAAGUAGGUAGUUUAACCUUCGGGGGGGACGCUUACCACUUUGUGGUCAUGAUGGGUGACAAGGAAAAGGGAGGGAAAAAAAAAAAAAAAAAAAAAAAAAAAAAAAAAAAAAAAAAAAAAGGGGGGGGGGGGGGGUUCACCAGAGGGGGGGGGCCCCCCCGGAGGGGG